rnacentral:lncRNA from 1 species
AAGAAAUUAUCAAAUAGCGUCUUAACUUGAUUUUUAACACCAUGCUACAAAUUGAAAGAGAUUACCUAGUAACCUUAACUAACCAAUCGAAAUCAAGUUACAAAAUCACAUCAACAAUCCAAAAUUAACGAGAUAUAAUUGAAUUUUCAAGCUUUUUCAAUAGCUCAACAAUGGUGAUUUCUGAAUUUUCCACCCAGCCUUCGCAAAUCCUGUGAUAAACAACCGAUUUGUUUUUAACAAACAAAUAUUUUACUCCUCCGACCUCCUUUCUUCCUUUGUUUCUCUCUCAUUUUCUCUUCAAAUCUCAGUUUACUCCUUUUCCAUAAGUACAGUUUCUGAAGUUCUAACAAUCAUUUAAAGCUCCUACUUUACCUUCUAUAAGAAUAUUUCUUUCUUCAAGUGUAUUGUUUGAGCUGUUUUCAUUAGUUUGUAUAAGGGGAAGGUGGUUUGGGACAGGGAAGAAGACGAGAGUGGGAGGGUUAUUUUCCUUUUCUUAAAUUGGUGUAAAA